GAUGCACACGAGGAAGAGGAAGGGAUCCUCGCAAGCUUUGAAAGGCGCCGUCAAGUCAAAUAAAUAAAUGCCCUACAACACCAACCCAGGACUGAGAUCUGCAUGCUGGAAUGACGGUGGUGGUGGUGGCUUUCAGUAUUCCCCAGGUUUUGUCCGGAGCACCGGCACGCCCUCUCUUGAAGUCCGCUCUCCGCACAGUGGUUAGACGGGAAGAUCCGGAGCUGUCCAGUGUCUUGGGUAAUGCACGGCAUCGCCUGAUGUCUGACGCUAGAACACCACGUAAAGUCAAGCAGAGGGAAGUGAAUGCGCCCUAGGCCCCUGCAGGCCACCAAGAAGAGCUAGAGGGAGUUGGUGCAAUCCUAGAGAUGCCGGCAGGUGCACCAAUCUGUGGCACACGUACGCUCUCCAAUGGAAGACAACUCAAGACCACACCAAGUUUGUAUUAAAAAAGUACUGUUGUGUUACUUUU